UACGAAGGGGGCUAGCGUUGCUCGGAAUCACUGGGCGUAAAGCGCACGUAGGCGGAUUGCUAAGUCAGGGGUGAAAUCCUGGAGCUCAACUCCAGAACUGCCUUUGAUACUGGCGAUCUCGAGUCCGGGAGAGGUGAGUGGAACUGCGAGUGUAGAGGUGAAAUUCGUAGAUAUUCGCAAGAACACCAGUGGCGAAGGCGGCUCACUGGCCCGGUACUGACGCUGAGGUGCGAAAGCGUGGGUAGCAAACAGG
rnacentral:rRNA from 1 species